rnacentral:rRNA from 1 species
AGAACGAACGCUGGCGGCAGGCCUAACACAUGCAAGUCGAACGCUCCGCAAGGGGAGUGGCAGACGGGUGAGUAACACGUGGGAACAUACCCUUCGGUUCGGAAUAACUCAGGGAAACUUGAGCUAAUACCGGAUACGUCCUGGCGGAGAAAGAUUUAUCGCCGAAGGAUUGGCCCGCGUCCGAUUAGCUAGUUGGUGAGGUAACGGCUCACCAAGGCGACGAUCGGUAGCUGGUCUGAGAGGAUGAUCAGCCACACUGGGACUGAGACACGGCCCAGACUCCUACGGGAGGCAGCAGUGGGGAAUAUUGGACAAUGGGCGCAAGCCUGAUCCAGCCAUGCCGCGUGAGUGAUGAAGGCCCUAGGGUUGUAAAGCUCUUUCGUCAGGGACGAUAAUGACGGUACCUGAAGAAGAAGCCCCGGCUAACUUCGUGCCAGCAGCCGC